AUUGAACGCUGGCGGCAGGCCUAACACAUGCAAGUCGAGCGGAUGAGAGGAGCUUGCUUCUCGAUUCAGCGGCGGACGGGUGAGUAAUGCCUAGGAAUCUGCCUGGUAGUGGGGGACAACGUUUCGAAAGGAAAGCUAAUACCGCAUACGUCCUACGGGAGAAAGCAGGGGACCUUCGGGCCUUGCGCUAUCAGAUGAGCCUAGGUCGGAUUAGCUAGUUGGUGAGGUAAUGGCUCACCAAGGCGACGAUCCGUAACUAGUCUGAGAGGAUGAUCAGUCACACUGGAACUGCGACACGGUCCAGAGUCCUACGGGGGGCAGCAGUGGAGAAUAUUGGAGAAUGGGCGAAGGCCUGAUCCGGCCAUGCCGCGUGUAUGAAGGAGGUCUUCGGAUUGUAAAGCACUUUAAGUUGGGAGGAUGGGUUGUAGAUUAAUACUCUGCAAUUUUGACGUUACCGACAGAAUAAGCACCGGCUAACUCUGUGCCAGCCGCCGCGGUAAGAC
rnacentral:rRNA from 1 species